rnacentral:rRNA from 1 species
UACAGAGGGUGCAAGCGUUGUUCGGAAUUAUUGGGCGUAAAGCGCUUGUAGGCGGUCUGUUAAGUCGCGUGUGAAAUCCCCAGGCUUAACCUGGGAAGUGCGCGCGAAACUGGCGGACUUGAGUGCCGGAGAGGGUCGCGGAAUUCCCGGUGUAGAGGUGAAAUUCGUAGAUAUCGGGAGGAACACCAGUGGCGAAGGCGGCGACCUGGACGGACACUGACGCUGAGACGCGAAAAGCGUGGGGGAGCAAACAGG